GACGAACGCUGGCGGCGUGCUUAACACAUGCAAGUCGAACGGAAAGGCCCUGCUUUUGUGGGGUGCUCGAGUGGCGAACGGGUGAGUAACACGUGAGUAACCUGCCCUUGACUUUGGGAUAACUUCAGGAAACUGGGGCUAAUACCGGAUAGGAGCUCCUGCUGCAUGGUGGGGGUUGGAAAGUUUCGGCGGUUGGGGAUGGACUCGCGGCAUAUCAGCUUGUUGGUGGGGUAGUGGCUUACCAAGGCUUUGACGGGUAGCCGGCCUGAGAGGGUGACCGGCCACAUGGGGACUGCGAUAGGGACCAGACUCCUACGGGCAGCAGCAGUGGAGAAUAUUGCACAAUGGGCGGAAGCCUGAUGCAGCGACGCCGCGUGCGGGAUGACGGCCUUCGGGUUGUAAACCGCUUUCGCCUGUGACGAAGCGUGAGUGACGGUAAUGGGUAAAGAAGCACCGGCUAACUACGUG
rnacentral:rRNA from 1 species